rnacentral:rRNA from 1 species
ACGAACCGUCCAAACGUUAUUCGGAAUUACUGGGCGUAAAGGGCUCGUAGGCGGCCAACUAAGUCAGACGUGAAAUCCCUCGGCUUAACCGGGGAACUGCGUCUGAUACUGGAUGGCUUGAGUGUGGGAGAGGGAUGCGGAAUUCCAGGUGUAGCGGUGAAAUGCGUAGAUAUCGGGAGGAACACCUGUGGCGAAAGCGGCGCACUGGACCACAACUGACGCUGAGGCGCGAAAGCUAGGGGAGCAAACAGGA